rnacentral:rRNA from 1 species
AUUGAACGCUGGCGGCAUGCCUUACACAUGCAAGUCGAACGGUUACAGGUCUUCGGAUGCUGACGAGUGGCGAACGGGUGAGUAAUACAUCGGAACGUGCCUAGUAGUGGGGGAUAACUACUCGAAAGAGUGGCUAAUACCGCAUGAGAUCUACGGAUGAAAGCAGGGGAUCGCACGACCUUGUGCUACUAGAGCGGCCGAUGGCAGAUUAGGUAGUUGGUGGGAUAAAAGCUUACCAAGCCGACGAUCUGUAGCUGGUCUGAGAGGACGAUCAGCCACACUGGGACUGAGAAACGGCCCAGACUCCUACGGGAGGCAGCAGUGGGGAAUUUUGGACAAUGGGCGCAAGCCUGAUCCAGCAAUGCCGCGUGCAGGAUGAAGGCCUUCGGGUUGUAAACUGCUUUUGUACGGAACGAAAAGCCCCGGGUUAAUACCCUGGGGUCAUGACGGUACCGUAAGAAUAAGCACCGGCUAACUACGUGCCAGCCGCCGCGGUAA